rnacentral:lncRNA from 1 species
UAAAAAAAAAAAUUUUUUUUUUUUUGCCACGUGGUACAAAUGUGGCAACCACAUCAGCUCUUAACGGAUCAAUGGAUAGAAAAUGUACCGGAGGUACUAUAUUGAAAUAAAAUAGUAGGUGAGGUAUGAAAGUGAAAUGUUUUAAAGAUGUUGUAUGGGGUUGUAAUAGACCUCAAACUUGAGAGGGUAUUAUGUAAUGUACCCUUUUUUUUUUUGUCACAAACAUGUGAGCACAUGUCAAGAGGCUAGUUUUUUUUCACAAGAGUCUUUAACUUGCGCCCGACCUUUAUUAAUUCUUGGUGAUUAUAGGUUCCAAACAUCUAUUGUGACAACCCGUCCCUAAAAUUCGUUUUUAUUUAUUUUUAAUUGAGGGAAUUGACAAAAAUGUCUAGAGGCAAGGAUCUUCAUUUAUGUUGACCAUCGUCUAGAAGAACGUAUGACUAUUUCUUUUGGCGUAUUUGCAUAGUACUUGAUGGUACGAAUGCAUAGGCGAAAGCCGUUUGCGAGUUUGGAGUAUAACAGUAUAGUUACGGACGUUUGAAAUUGGUUACCUAUAUUUCAGAUUACUAAAUUAUUGAACUCCCACCUUGUGGGAA